GAGUUUGAUCUUGGCUCAGGAUGAACGCUGGCGGCGUGCCUAAUACAUGCAAGUCGAACGAAAUGUUGUAGCAAUACACCAUUUAGUGGCGAACGGGUGAGUAACGCGUUGGUGACCUGCCCCGAAGUGGGGGAUAACAGUCCGAAAGGACUGCUAAUACCCCAUGUGGCUGUGAGAGUUAGAGUUCUCACUACCAAAGGAGUAAUCCGCUUCGGGAGGGCCUGCGUCCCAUCAGCUAGUUGGUAGGGUAACGGCCUACCAAGGCUAAGACGGGUAGGGAACCUGAGAGGGUGACCCCCACACUGGAACUGAAACACGGUCCAGACACCUACGGGUGGCAGCAGUAGGGAAUAUUGCACAAUGGGCGAAAGCCUGAUGCAGCAACGCCGCGUGUACGAUGAAGGCCUUCGGGUUGUAAAGUAC
rnacentral:rRNA from 1 species